UGAGGAAUAUUGGUCAAUGGGCGCAAGCCUGAACCAGCCAUGCCGCGUGAAGGAUGAAUGCCCUAUGGGUUGUAAACUUCUUUUGUAUGGGACGAAACCCCCGAACGUGUUUGGGGCUGACGGUACUGUACGAAUAAGCAUCGGCUAACUCCGUGCCAGCAGCCGCGGUAAUACGGAGGAUGCAAGCGUUAUCCGGAUUCAUUGGGUUUAAAGGGUGCGUAGGCGGGAAAAUAAGUCAGUGGUGAAAGCCUACAGCUUAACUGUAGAAUUGCCAUUGAUACUGUUAUUCUUGAGUAUAGUUGAAGUGGGUGGAAUGUGUGGUGUAGCGGUGAAAUGCUUAGAUAUCACACAGAACGCCAAUUGCGAAGGCAGCUCACUAAGCUAUUACUGACGCUGAGGCACGAAAGCGUGGGGAUCAAACAGG
rnacentral:rRNA from 1 species